AGAAAGGAGGUGGGCUUUUUUUUUCACCCUGCUUUAAAAGCCCUUGGGCCCUUCCCAACUGGGUGCCAGCCAACUGCGGCUGCCUGGGACACUCCAUCUUAAGUCCCUGUGCCUCUGCUGUGUGUUACUGAGUGCCUAGGCCAUGCCAGCCUGUAUUCAUCUGUACCAUGACCUGAAGAGGCAGAGGCUAUCGUUGUUGGUCCGGUCUCCACCUGGGGAAACUGAGGUGUCUGUGUGGUGAUGAGCAGGGCUUCAUCCAGUGCCCCUGUCCCCACCGAGGGGACUAUGGGAGCCAUGGAGGGUGCGUGAGCAGCAGGUGAGACUGGAGCCAGCUGAAAACUGGGAGACCGACCCAGCCAACAAACAAUGUCGGUCUCUGUCCUGGCACCCGCAGGAAACAAGCUCCUACUUCCAGAAAAAGUGCUCCUGGGACUCAAGGAUACCAAAUCCUUCCCUGGCACCGGUUCCAGGAGGACCUGGUUCUUAGGCAGCAUCUGUAUCUCUGUUUUGUAAGACACACAGUAUCCUUAACCCACUGCAGAUAUUUCCCUGGUCCAUGGUCAACCAACACCACCUUUCAGUCUCCAGCCUCUUAACCAGCCCAGGGCUGAGUGUUGUUCAUAGUAUUAAUAUGUUGCUGGCUGGGCUCAGUGGCUCAUGCCUGUAAACCCGGCACUAUGGGAGGCUGAGGCAGGCGGAUCACUUGAGGUCAGGAGUUCAAGACAAGCCUGGCCAACAUAGUAAAACCGCGUCUCUACUAAAAAUACAAAAAUGAGCCGGGUGUGGUGGUGCGUGUCUAUAAUCCCAGCUACUCGGGAGGCUGAGGCAGGAGAAUUGCUUGAACCUGGGAGAUGGAGGCUACAGUGAGCUGAGAUCAUGCCACUGCACUCCAGCCUGGUCAAGAAAGUGAGACUCCGUCUCAAAACAAAGAAACAAACAAAGUAUUAAUAUGUUCCCCUUGAUCAGUGGGGUGGUUCACCCUUGUAAUCCCAGCACUUUGGGAGGCAGAAGCUGGCGGAUCGCUUGAGUCCAGGAGUUCGAGACCAGCCUGGGUGAC
rnacentral:lncRNA from 1 species